ACUAACAGAUAUUGACUCCGAUCGACAUUACUGUUCAUGCUUAACCUUCUAUGAGGCCGAGAUCAAUCUUCAGGACAUAGAAAUGACCAAGAACAAGGGCAUGGGUCCUUGGUUUCCUUUGCUGAGAAAGAGUUGUAAUGAAUUUUUCAAGGGAACAAAGAAGGAAGACAUUGAAGGUGAAGAGGAAGUGUCUGGUUUAAUUCAACCUGCAGAAGUGUUUGCUCCCAAAAGCCUGGUGUUGGUAUCCAGAUUAGAUUAUCCAGAAGUUUUUAGGGCUUGCCUGGGUCUGAUCUAUACUGUGUAUGUGGACAGUCUGAAUGUCUCCUUGGAAAGCCUCAUUGCAAACCUUUGUGCCUGCCUUGUCCCUGCAGCUGGAGGGUCUCAGAAGCUGUUUUCCUUGGGUGCAGGAGACAGACAGUUGAUUCAGACUCCUUUACAUGAUAGUCUUCCUGUCACAGGCACUAGUGUGGCUCUCCUGUUCCAGCAGUUGGGAAUUCAGAAUGUCCUCAGCCUCUUUUGUGCAGUCCUUACAGAAAAUAAGGUUCUCUUCCAUUCUGCAAGUUUCCAGAGACUUAGUGAUGCCUGUAGAGCCCUGGAAUCUUUAAUGUUUCCUCUUAAAUAUAGCUAUCCUUAUAUUCCCAUUCUCCCAGCUCAGCUACUAGAAGUUCUAAGUUCUCCAACACCUUUCAUUAUUGGAGUACAUUCCAUCUUUAAAACUGAUGUCCAUGAACUUUUAGAUGUAAUCAUAGCAGAUUUGGACGGAGGCACUAUUAAAAUUCCCGAAUGUAUUCACCUCUCUUCCCUUCCAGAACCACUUCUACAUCAGACUCAAGCAGCUCUUUCUCUGAUUUUACACCCAGAUUUGGAAGUAGCAGAUCAUGCUUUUCCUCCUCCACGAACAGCUUUAUCUCACUCAAAAAUGCUGGAUAAAGAAGUCCGAGCAGUUUUCCUUAGAUUGUUUGCACAACUUUUCCAAGGAUAUAGAUCAUGCCUACAACUUAUAAGAAUUCAUGCAGAGCCAGUAAUACAUUUUCACAAAACAGCUUUCUUGGGGCAGCGUGGUUUGAUUGAGAAUGAUUUCCUCACUAAAGUACUCAAUGGAAUGGCAUUUGCAGGUUUUGUUUCUGAAAGAGGUCCUCCCUAUAGAACCUGUGAUCUCUUUGAUGAGUUGGUAGCUUUUGAAGUAGAGAGAAUUAAAGUUGAAGAAAAUAACCCAUUGAAGAUGAUAAAGCAUGUCAGAGAACUUGCUGAACAACUAUUCAAAAAUGAGAAUCCAAACCCUCAUAUGGCAUUCCAGAAAGUUCCACGCCCAACAGAAGGAUCACAUUUGCGAGUUCACAUUCUUCCUUUCCCAAAGAUUAACGAAGCCCUGGUUCAGGAAUUAAUACAGGAAAAUCUUGCCAAGAAUCAGAAUGCACCUCCUGCUACACGAAUGGAAAAGAAAUGUGUUGUGCCAGCAGGUCCACCUGUUGUUUCAAUAUUGGAUAAAGUGUCAACAGUUUUCAAUAGUGCACAAAGACUGGAAGUUGUUAGAAACUGUAUCUCAUUCAUAUUUGAGAACAAAACUUUGGAGACUGAAAAGACCCUUCCUGCUGCCCUGAGGGCCCUUAAAGGAAAGACAGCAAGACAAUGUCUCACAGAUGAACUGGGUUUGCAUGUCCAGCAAAACCGGGCAAUAUUGGACCAUCAACAAUUUGAUUACAUAAUAAGGAUGAUGAAUUGUACUUUACAGGAUUGUUCGAGUUUAGAAGAAUAUAAUAUUGCUGCAGCUUUACUCCCUUUGACUAGUGCUUUCUAUAGGAAACUUGCUCCUGGAGUCAGCCAGUUUGCUUACACCUGUGUACAGGACCACCCCAUUUGGACAAAUCAGCAGUUUUGGGAGACAACUUUUUACAAUGCAGUGCAGGAACAAGUCCGCUCCCUUUAUCUUUCAACAAAGGAAGACAAUCAUGUCCCACACCUGAAGCAAAAGGAUAAACUUCCUGAUGACCAGUAUCAAGAGAAGACGGCCAUGGACCUAGCAGCCGAGCAGCUGCGCCUUUGGCCCACUCUGAGCAAAUCAACUCAGCAAGAACUGGUGCAGCGCGAGGAAAGCAUUGUCUUCAGUCAGGCCAUUCACUUUGCAAAUCUCAUGGUCAACCUGCUGGUUCCACUAGACACAAGUAAAAACAAGCUCCUGAGAGCAUCAGCACCAGGUGACUGGGAGAGUGGAAGCAACAGCAUUGUCACAAACAGUAUUGCUGGCAGUGUGGCUGAGAGCUAUGAUACAGAGAGUGGGUUUGAAGAUUCAGAGAAUAAUGACAUUGCUAAUUCUGUUGUACGGUUCAUUACCCGAUUUAUUGACAAGGUUUGUACAGAAAGUGGAGUUACUCAAGAUCACAUCAAGAGCCUUCACUGUAUGAUACCAGGAAUUGUAGCUAUGCACAUUGAGACCCUAGAAGCAGUGCAUCGUGAGAGUAGAAGACUUCCACCUAUACAGAAGCCCAAGAUUCUAAGACCUGCUCUGCUGCCAGGAGAAGAAAUUGUAUGUGAAGGUCUUCGAGUUCUGCUUGAUCCUGAUGGCAGAGAAGAAGCCACUGGAGGUCUUCUUGGAGGCCCUCAGCUCCUGCCAGCAGAAGGAGCUUUGUUCCUCACCACGUACAGAAUUCUCUUCAGAGGCACACCUCAUGACCAGCUAGUUGGUGAACAGACAAUUGUGCGGAGCUUCCCCAUCGCCUCCAUUACCAAGGAGAAAAAGAUCACAAUUCAGAACCAACUACAACAGAACAUGCAAGAAGGAUUGCAGAUUACAUCAGCAUCUUUUCAGUUGAUUAAAGUAGCAUUUGAUGAGGAAGUCAGUCCAGAAGUAGUAGAGAUCUUUAAGAAACAGCUAAUGAAGUUCCGUUAUCCUCAGUCCAUUUUCAGCACCUUCGCUUUUGCUACUGGACAAACCACCCCACAAAUAAUUUUACCUAAACAGAAAGAAAAGAAUACUUCCUUUCGUACCUUCUCAAAAACAAUCGUGAAAGGUGCCAAAAGGGCAGGGAAAAUGACAAUUGGGCGACAAUAUUUAUUGAAGAGGAGGACAGGAACAAUUGUAGAAGAGAGAGUAAAUCGUCCUGGAUGGAAUGAAGACGAUGACAUAUCUGUUUCAGAUGAUAGUGAACUCCCCACAAGUACCCUGAAGGCCUCAGAGAAAUCUACAAUGGAACAGUUGGUGGAAAAAGCUUGUUUCAGAGACUAUCAGCGGUUGGGUUUGGGAACCAUAAGUGGCACCUCAUCCCGUUCAAAACCAGAGUAUUUCCGAAUCACUGCCUCCAACAGGAUGUAUUCUCUUUGCCGAAGCUAUCCUGGCCUUUUAGUGAUACCUCAAGCUGUACAGGACAGUAGUUUACCAAGAGUAGCCCGCUGCUAUCGACACAAUCGCUUGCCUGUUGUAUGUUGGAAGAGCUCAAGAAGUGGUACUCUGCUCCUUCGAUCUGGAGGAUUCCAUGGGAAAGGAGUUGUUGGUCUUUUCAAAUCUCAGAACUCCCCUCAGGCAGCUCCUACCUCCUCUUUAGAAUCUUCCAGUAGCAUAGAACAAGAAAAGUACUUGCAAGCCUUACUGAAUGCAGUUUCUGUCCAUCAGAAACUCAGAAGCAACAACACCCUUACUGUCAGGCCAGCACUUGCUCUGUCUCCAGGGACUGAAAGGAGGACUUCAAGAAUGUCCACUGUGCUUAAGCAGGUAGUGCCAGGACAUUUGGAUGUAAACCCAUCCAAUAGCUUUGCUCGAGGAGGUGUGUGGGCAAGUCUUCGCUCCAGCACUCGCUUGAUCAGCUCUCCAACAUCCUUCAUUGAUGUUGGCACCCGGCUGGCAGGCAAAGAUCACUCAACAUCCUUCAGUAAUAGCACCUACCUACAAAAUCAGCUCUUGAAACGCCAAGCAGCCCUUUAUAUAUUUGGUGAAAAGUCACAACUAAGGAGCUUCAAGGUAGAAUUUGCUUUAAAUUGUGAAUUUGUUCCUGUUGAAUUUCAUGAAAUCCGACAAGUGAAAGCCAGUUUUAAAAAGCUGAUGAGGGCUUGUAUCCCAAGCACCAUCCCUACUGACUCAGAAAUAACCUUCCUAAAGGCCCUGGGAGACUCUGAGUGGUUCCCACAGCUUCAUAGGAUAAUGCAGCUGGCUGUGGUGGUGGCAGAAGUACUCGAGAAUGGCUCCUCAGUCUUGAUCUGUUUAGAAGAAGGCUGGGAUAUCACUGCACAAGUGACCUCCCUGGUGCAGUUACUCAGUGAUCCCUUUUAUAGGACACUUGAAGGUUUCAGAAUGUUGGUUGAAAAAGAGUGGCUCUCUUUUGGUCAUAAAUUCAGUCAACGGAGCAGCUUGACCCUCAACUCUCAGGGUAGUGGUUUUGCUCCAGUCUUCCUACAAUUCUUAGACUGUGUACAUCAGGUUCACAACCAGUAUCCUACUGAGUUUGAAUUCAAUCUCUAUUACUUAAAGUUUUUGGCCUUCCACUAUGUAUCUAACCACUUUAAAACUUUUCUCCUGGAUUCAGACUAUGAAAGAUUAGAACAUGGAACUUUAUUUGAUGAUAAAGGAGACAAGCAUGCCAAGAAAGGAAUUUGUAUUUGGGAGUGUAUUGAUAAAAUGCAUAAGAGGAGUCCCAUUUUCUUUAAUUAUUUAUAUUCACCAGUGGAAAUAGAGGCCCUGAAGCCCAGUGUAAACAUCUCCAGCCUCAAGAAGUGGGAUUACUAUAUAGAGGAGACCCUGUCUGCAGGGCCUUCGUAUGACUGGAUGAUGCUGACUCCCAAGCACUUUCCCUCUGAAGAGUCUGAUCUGGCUGGAGGAGCUGGGCCCCAGACCCAGAGAAGGACAGUGUGGCCAUGCUAUGAUGAAGUCAGCUGUACUCAGCCCGAUGCUCUCACCAGCCUUUUCACUGAAAUUGAAAAAUUGGAGCAUAAAUUGAACCAAACCCCUGAGAAGUGGCAGCAGCUGUGGGAAAAGGUAACCAUGGACCUUAAAGAAGAGCCAAGAGCAGACCGUGUCCAGAGACGUCCUCCCGGAUCCCCAGGAAUUGUGCCUCCCAACCUACCUUCCUAUCAGAAGAGGCCGAUGCUGCACCUGCCCGACAGCAGCAUGAGCGAGGAACAGAACGCCAGCAUCUCACCUUCCAACGGAGUGGAGCGAAGGGCAGCCACGCUCUACAGCCAGUACACAUCCAGGAGCGACGAGAACAGGUCCUUUGAGGGAACACUUUACAAAAGAGGGGCUCUGCUGAAAGGCUGGAAAUCCCGUUGGUUUGUAUUGGAUGUAACAAAACAUCAGCUGCGAUACUAUGACUCGGGUGAAGACACAAGCUGCAAAGGCCACAUAGAUCUGGCUGAAGUAGAAAUGGUCAUCCCUGCUGGCCCCAGCCUGGGCGCUCCAAAACACACGAGUGACAAGGCUUUCUUUGAUCUCAAGACCAGCAAACGUGUAUAUAACUUCUGUGCCCAAGAUGGGCAGAGUGCCCAGCAGUGGAUGGACAGAAUCCAGAGCUGUAUCUCUGACGCCUGACACUGUGGAUAACCCAAGCAGAACAGGCCCGAGUGCAGAUGAGGGGCUGCAAGUUUGCACCCUGUGUUCCUUGUUUGGUUUCUGUGGUGACCAGCCCAUCUCCCAAAGCUAUCUGAGACCCUGCCCUGAAUGUCCAGGGGCUCAGGUGUGGUUGAAACCGGCACAUUAUGAAUAACGAGACGUACCCAUCACUCAGGAAAUUCCAAGAGUUUCAGGAACUCAAACCAGCCAGAAGAGGAAGUGGGGCAGCAGAUUGGCAGCACCUAUGGCCUUCAGCGUGAGGCCUCAGGAGACCUCGGCGAGCGCGGCACAAGGGUUGAGUGUCACUAGGAAGGUGGCCGCCCCUGCAGCUCAGAGGGCCAGGGAGGCCGUGGUCACAGUGUCCUCGAGAGCGUCCACCAGACAUCGUCAUCCCAUUUCAGAGUUCCAGGCCUCUCCUCCCCCGAGGGCCUUCAUAGCUACAGCCUCAGCCUUCUUUUUAUUUCACAUCACUAAAUCGUCCAGGCUGGGUUCAAACUUUCAAUCCUCCUGCCUCAGCCUCCUGGAGUGCUGGGUUUACAGGCCUGCACCCCCCGUCCUGGCUGAGUUCUGCAUCUCUUGAGAAUGGAUUUGCCUUUGUCAGGCUGAGAGCAGCCCUGGCCACAGAGUGGGCAGAGUGGGCAGCAGAGCAGCCGGGCCACUGGGUAGUAGUGAUCCCCACAGCCUGGCAUCUGGGAGGUGCGCGUCUACCGCUCCCACCAAGAGUCUAGGCAGGGACUGAGCCCCUGGAGCUCUUGACCAAAAGGAACAAGAGCAUCAUAUUCUCUCCCUGUGGUGAGUCUAUGCUGAGACUUCCAGCUCUGUCCUACUUCUGACCUUGGGUGGUUCAUCCGCUCUGGGCCUCACUUUCUUCACCCAUAAAUGGGGAUAAAAACAGAAAUGAUCCCAACUCAACAAUGGUUCAAUGGAUAGUGUGAAAGAGAUUCAAAUUCCAUAGAAAUCUUACUUCAAAUUCUGAAUCUUGAUCUUUUCCCAGGCUGUGGGUUUGUGGGUAUUAUCAGGGCUCCAUCCUGGAGCUCAGCCGUGGGGUGGAACCCACUAUGAAUGGGCUGGUCCCCAAAUCCAGUGUGUGCCCCGUCCACCACACACUGAUGCUCUGCACUGAUGCUGUCCUGGGUACACUGGACCCCAAACAGGCAGCCCCUGUCCUCCCUUGCACACAUGACUGCCAGUGUAGACAGAGCUGUGCUCAGUGAGGGCAGGCAGAGGCAGCGAGCUCAGUGCCAGACCUGGGGUCAGAGACGUCCUGAUCAGGGGCAUUUAUGCCAAGGAUUACAGGACCCAGACAUGGCUGAAAGUGAAAUGGAAGAAGGCAGAAAAAGUUGCUGCAGCUGUGACCCCCAUUUUAGAAAUAUCUGCCUGGCCAGGCAUGGGUGGGACCUUGGGAAAGGGGUGUGGUCCAGCCCGAGGCUUUUCUGGUUGUCCCAGCGGGGCUCGGUAGACAUAGGAGCUUCACACAGCCUAAAGUCAGGAGCAAAAUUGAGGGCCUAGCUGGUGGGAACAGAGUGGAGGAAAAGAGGCAGGGAUACCUGAGAAUGGCCCCGUCCUCAGAUGGCCAGGUGGGGAGCAGCCGGGUUCUGGCCCAGGCUUCACCAGCAGCCAGUGGGUCCUGAGGAACAGGGAGCUCAUGGAAAUUUUUCCCAGAGAUCAAAUGACCUUGUCCAAGGUCACAGCAGUGUAGGUGGAGCUGGGAUUUGAACUCAGGUCCAUCUGACUGCAUCUUGUGCUCCCCUCUUCUCCAGCAGGCCAGUCUGCAUGUAGAAACCCGAGUUCAGGGGAACUGUGACCCACUAUGUCACCGGGCCUCUUGGAAGGUCAUUCAAGGU